ACUUCGUUGUAAAGGCAGAAGAUAGAAAAAAAUUAGAGAGUUUGCAAAUAAAGUGAUACAGAGAGAGAGAAAGAGACAGAAAGAGUAUGAGGAAAGCAGAGAGACGAGAAUUACAGAGAGGUUCUAGAGCUGUAGAGGAGGUCUUGGAGCUUGAGGCUUUGAUGAUUUAAUGAGGAAAAUUCCUUUUCAGUGAUACGGAUGGCAAGUGACGGACGACGCUCCUCCACAGGGUUUGAUGGUUUCAGGUACUGGUGAUGAACGGGGAUUGCUAGAUACGGGCUUAGGGUAAAGAGUCCGCGUUGCAAGAUUUAUUUAUUUAUUUAGAGAAUUUUGUAUAUUUUUGAGGAAAUUGAUUUUGUAUAAAAGAGGACAUUUUUUUAUGAUCCUGGAUGUAUUUUGAUGUAUUUAGACUUGUAUAAAUUGAGGAUUUUAUUGGGGAUUUUUGGGUCGUGACGUAAUACUAGAGUCGUACAUAUAUUUCUCAUCA